GGUGAGGAAGUCUUCAGUGCGGAAGGAACAAGAAUCAGAAUUAUAUUCUCCCUCAGUAGGCAAAAACCAAUUCUUGGAAAAAGAAAAAAUAUAAUGGCUCUCCCAGAAGAUGACAACACAGUCAGGGACAGUAUUAAUCUGCAAGACAUGCAACUUGAUGAAAAGCAGCUGAAAAAGAAAGGAAGAUGAGAUUCUGCUAAAGAAUGAAUAACAGAACAGUUUUCACAAGAAGAUGGACUCCAACGAAUUCUCUCAAAAGCCUCCAUAUUAACAAUAAUUGUAGGAAAUGUUAAGAUGAAAUGUAUAAAAAUAUGAUUUAAGAACAGUACUUAUCAAAUGAGUUGUUUAUAAUAAAAC
rnacentral:lncRNA from 1 species